rnacentral:rRNA from 1 species
AGAGUGAACGCUGGCGGCGUGCCUAACACAUGCAAGUCGCACGAGAAAGCGGGAGCAAUCCUGCAAGUAAGGUGGCGUACGGGUGGGUAACACGUGAAUCAUCUACCUUCGAGUGUGGAAUAACUGAGAGAAAUCUUAGCUAAUACCGCAUAAUACUUACGAGUCAAAGCAGCAAUGCGCUUGAAGAGGAGUUCGCGGCAGAUUAGUUAGUUGGCGGGGUAAUGGCCCACCAAGACGAUGAUCUGUA